rnacentral:lncRNA from 1 species
AUGAAGCAGGGUGAGCUGAGCAUACCUUCCACUCUGCUCCUGCACAACACCAGCAGUUUUGAAGAGCCUGAAACGACAGAGGUAGAGGAAAGCUUCCCAAAGACAGGCUGCCAGGCUUUCCAGGACAGGCUCAUCAGCAGCAUCACCCACAGCAGAAAUCACAACUGGCAACUGGAAAGCAGCUUUGAGAAGCAGGACUCAGAGUACAGGCCUCUGCCCAGCACCACAGAUGGAGGCAGUUACGAGCAGCAGCUUCCUGACCUGUACCAGAAGAUGGUGCUGGAAGUGACAGAGCAAACACAAACCAUGUGCGAGUACAUUGCGAAUCCAGCGACUGACAGAGCUACAGUCUACCUGCCCUCAGCCAUCUCCCCACCUGUCACAGACACUAAUGAAGGAGACCCCGAACUUUUGUGCAGUCCCAUCUCUGUCUUCCCAACAACUUUUUUGACACCAGAAUUUUCCUGCGGAGGGAAACUUAAUUUGGACACGGUGAGGCUGAACAGCAGCUCUUUCACAAUGUAGGCUGGCAGGGUGGCACAGCAGCCCGGCCUGAACGUUUGCACUUUAGCCAAGCAUUGCAAUAUGUGUUUCAUUGCAGCCAGGACAGCAACACGCACGUCACGCCUCCAGGUAACACAGCCCAGCUCACAGGUAUCCCAGGUUCUAAGCCCUGCCUUAAUUCACAGGGCAGCAGCUCCUCACCCACAGAGCACAUUGAGGUAGAACUCAAGACAAAAGUCCAGAUUGCUGGGUUCAUUUCUUGGGCUGCCUGCAGAGCCAGAGCUGCCUCAGGUGCCCACCCGCUGCCUGAACACAAGGCUGCUUUGGACUGCAGCAGACAAGCUCAAAGUCAUCCAACACAACGCCUGCCCAGCAACAAGGAGGGAUCUCAGUACGGUCAGAGCUGAGCAGGCGAUGGCUGCACUGUGCUCCAGCUGCACGCAGCUCACAAAUGCAGCACCUGAGAAUCUUCUGCUCACCUGACGUGCUCAGUGUGUGCUCAGUGCCUGCAGACGUUCCUCACUGCUGCACGAACACAGGCACAGCUCACAGCCCCAGGGACAACUGCAGCCCCAUGUGGGCACUGCAGGAUCCCUCACUCCAUUGAGCUCUAUCAGCCCUGCUGCAAAACCAGAGCGAGCCGACCCUCAGGGCUUAGCAAGGAACCGUCAGCAGAACGAAGCAGGCACCACGUGCACACAGUACGUCAGAUGGGCUGCCGAGAUUUGUAAUCAUUUAUUGAAGUAUUCUAAUUACAGGCUUGAAGUCCGUGUUACACAUGUAAUGACUUUGUUUACUACGUGCGUUAUUUAUAAAUAGAACGUUGGAAACCUGAAAUUUGUUUGGUGUUGUUCUCUCUGGUCAAGCUGAAGCUCGAGGCUGCAGCCAGCACACAGCAAAGCACCGUAAAUGGCAGAGCUGGAGGGGGCAGAGCAGAGCCGAGCUCACCUGCAGCACAACGCAUUGCCUCCUGCACUGCCCCCUGCAUUGCCUCCUGCACUGCCCCCUGCAUUGCCUCCUC